rnacentral:SRP_RNA from 1 species
GCUGGGCGUGGUGGCGCAUGCCUGUAAUCCCAGCUACUUGGGAGGCUGAGACAGGAGAAUCACUUGAAUCUGGGAGGCAGAGGUUACAAUGAGCCAAGAACCGUGCCAUUGCACUCCUGCCUGGGUGACAGAGUGAGACUCUGUCUCAA